rnacentral:rRNA from 1 species
ACGGAAGGCAGCAGUGGGGAAUAUUGGGCAAUGGGCGCAAGCCUGACCCAGCAACGCCGCGUGAAGGAAGAAGGCUUUCGGGUUGUAAACUUCUUUUGUCAGGGAAGGGUAGAAGACUGUACCCGGCGAAUAAGCCACGGCUAACUACGUGCCAGCAGCCGCGGUAAUACGUAGGUGGCAAGCGUUGUCCGGAUUUACUGGGUGUAAAGGGCGUGUAGCCGGGUCGGUAAGUCAGAUGUGAAAUCUACGGGCUCAACUCGUAAACUGCAUUUGAAACUGCUGAUCUUGAGUAUCGGGGAGGCAAUCGGAAUUCCUAGUGUAGCGGUGAAAUGCGUAGAUAUUAGGAGGAACACCAGUGGCGAAGGCGGAUUGCUGGACGACAACUGACGGUGAGGCGCGAAAGCGUGGGGAGCAAACAGGAUCAGAUACCCUGGUA